rnacentral:rRNA from 1 species
GACGAACGCUGGCGGCGUGCUUAACACAUGCAAGUCGAACGGAAAGGCCCUGCUUUUGUGGGGUGCUCGAAUGGCGAACGGGUGAGUAACACGUGAGUAACCUGCCCUUGACUUUGGGAUAACUUCAGGAAACUGGGGCUAAUACCGGAUAGGAGCUCCUGCUGCAUGGUGGGGGUUGGAAAGUUUCGGCGGUUGGGGAUGGACUCGCGGCUUAUCAGCUUGUUGGUGGGGUAGUGGCUUACCAAGGCUUUGACGGGUAGCCGGCCUGAGAGGGUGACCGGCCACAUUGGGACUGAGAUACGGCCCAGACUCCUACGGGAGGCAGCAGUGGGGAAUAUUGCACAAUGGGCGGAAGCCUGAUGCAGCAACGCCGCGUGCGGGAUGACGGGCUUCGGGUUGUAAACCGCUUUCGCCUGUGACGAAGCGUGAGUGACGGUAAUGGGUAAAGAAGCACCGGCUAACUACGUG